CCUACGGGAGGCAGCAGUAGGGAAUCUUCCGCAAUGGACGAAAGUCUGACGGAGCAACGCCGCGUGAGCGAUGAAGGCCUUCGGGUCGUAAAGCUCUGUUGUUAGGGAAGAACAAGUAUCGGAGUAACUGCCGGUACCUUGACGGUACCUAACCAGAAAGCCCCGGCUAACUACGUGCCAGCAGCCGCGGUAAU
rnacentral:rRNA from 1 species